rnacentral:misc_RNA from 1 species
CCGAGUUUACAACUCCCAAACCCCUGUGAACAUACCACUUGUUGCCUCGGCGGAUCAGCCUGCUCCCGGUAAAACGGGACGGCCCACCAGAGGACCCCUAAACUCUGUUUCUAUAUGUAACUUCUGAGUAAAACCAUAAAUAAAUCA